rnacentral:rRNA from 1 species
GAGUAAUGUCUGGGGAUCUGCCCGAUAGAGGGGGAUAACCACUGGAAACGGUGGCUAAUACCGCAUAACGUCGCAAGACCAAAGAGGGGGACCUUCGGGCCUCUCACUAUCGGAUGAACCCAGAUGGGAUUAGCUAGUAGGCGGGGUAAUGGSCCACCUAGGCGACRAUCCCUAGCUGGUCUGAGAGGAUGACCAGCCACACUGGAACUGAGACACGGUCCAGACUCCUACGGGAGGCAGCAGUGGGGAAUAUUGCACAAUGGGCGCAAGCCUGAUGCAGCCAUGCCGCGUGUAUGAARAAGGCCUUCGGGUUGUAAAGUACUUUCAGCGGGGAGGAAGGCGAYGGGGUUAAUAACCCYGUCGAUUGACGUUACCCGCAGAARAAGCACCGGCUAACUCCGUGCCAGCAGCCGCGGUAAUACGGAGGGUGCAAGCGUUAAUCGGAAUUACUGGGCGUAAAGCGCACGCAGGCGGUCUGUUAAGUCAGAUGUGAAAUCCCCGGGCUUAACCUGGGAACUGCAUUUGAAACUGGCAGGCUUGAGUCUUGUAGAGGGGGGUAGAAUUCCAGGUGUAGCGGUGAAAUGCGUAGAGAUCUGGAGGAAUACCGGUGGCGAAGGCGGCCCCCUGGACAAAGACUGACGCUCASGUGCGAAAGCGUG